GCUCAGUGAGGACUUCGUGAGCGUGAAGGUAGACCGUGAGGAGCGGCCUGACGUCGACAAGGUGUACAUGACGUUCGUGCAGGUGAGCAGCCCUCCUCGGGAGUGUAUGCGCCACAUGGGGUCAGGGCAGCUCCCCUCACCCUCGCUCUCUCUCUGCCAGGCCACCAGCAGUGGCGGGGGCUGGCCCAUGAAUGUGUGGCUGACUCCCAACCUCCAGCCCUUUGUCGGGGGCACCUAUUUCCCUCCUGAGGAUGGCUUGACCCGAGUCGGCUUCCGCACAGUGUUGCUGAGAAUACGAGAACAGUGGAAACAGAACAAGAACACCCUGCUAGAAAAUAGCCAGCGUGUCACCACCGCCCUGCUGGCCCGAUCAGAGAUCAGCGUGGGUGACCGCCAGCUGCCGCCCUCUGCCGCCACCAUGAACAAUCGCUGCUUCCAGCAGCUGGACGAGGGCUAUGAUGAGGAAUAUGGUGGCUUCGCUGAGGCCCCCAAGUUUCCCACGCCGGUGAUCUUGAGCUUCCUGUUCUCCUACUGGCUCAGCCAUCGACUGACUCAGGAUGGCUCUCGGGCCCAGCAGAUGGCCUUGCAUACCCUGAAAAUGAUGGCUAACGGGGGCAUCCGGGACCACGUGGGGCAGGUGAUGGGCACUGGGUGUUCCCUGGAGGGGCAGCAGGGGGCUGUGGGGUGGGGCAGAGGCUGGGACUGGCCUCCAGCUUUGUAUCUGCACAGGGCUUUCACCGAUACUCCACAGACCGCCAGUGGCACGUCCCUCACUUUGAGAAGAUGCUCUAUGACCAGGCACAGCUCGCUGUGGCCUAUUCGCAGGCCUUCCAGAUCUCUGGCGAUGAAUUCUACUCUGAUAUGGCCAAAGGCAUCCUGCAGUACGUGGCUCGGAGCCUGAGCCACCGGUCUGGAGGCUUCUAUAGCGCUGAGGAUGCAGACUCGCCCCCAGAGCGGGGCAUGCGGCCCAAAGAGGGCGCCUACUAUGUGUGGACGGUCAAAGAGGUUCAGCAGCUCCUCCCGGAGCCUGUGCUGGGUGCCACCGAGCCGCUG
rnacentral:sRNA from 1 species